AUUUCUUCUAAAGCUAAAUAUUGGCCAGAGACCGAUAGCGCACAAGUAGAGUGAUCGAAAGAUGAAAAGCACUUUGGAAAGAGAGUUAAACAGUACGUGAAAUUGUUGAAAGGGAAGCGCUUGCAAUCAGACUUGCACUUGGUGUUCAUCAGGGUCUCGUACCCUGUGUACUUCAUCAAGUUCAGGCCAGCAUCAGUUUGAGUGGUUAGAUAAAGGCUUAGAGAAUGUGGCCCUCUUCGGGGGGUGUUAUAGCUCUAGGUGCAAUGUAGCCUACUUGGACUGAGGACCGCGCUUCGGCUAGGAUGCUGGCGUAAUGGUUGUAAGCGACC
rnacentral:rRNA from 1 species